rnacentral:rRNA from 1 species
AUGCAGAAGGACUUGGAACCCGUCACCAAGGGCGACCUCAAGGUAUUCUUCAAGGAAUUGCGAGCGGAGUGGAGGGAGGACAUCAAGUCCUCAAUCGCCGCCGAGUUCUCCUCCUGGAAGCCCGCGAUCGACUCCCAGAUCACCGAUCUGCAGGAGGCGGUCGAUCUGCUCAAGAAGCAGCAUACCGGCGGCAAGAGCUCCGACGUCGGGGAGGCGUCAGCGAUAGAUCACCUCGAUCUGUCGGCGCGGAAGAGCAAUUCGUCUUCAGACGGACCUCCGGCGCGCGAAUCUCCUCGGGCCGAUGGCCACGGCACCGCUCCUUCUCCACGGACGGCGGUCGACGGGCUUUCCAUCACCCCAUCGGCCCCUCCGGCCAACGGUACGGUCGAUCUCCCACUUCAGUUACCGUCUGCAGCCCCUGUUCAGUUACCUGUUGUAGCCCCUACCGUGUCUCUGACGGGAGGUUCAGGAAAUUUUGCCCAAUUUCUUGCUUCCAAUGCUCCCAGUCCACCAUCUAUGCCGUUUCCUUUGUUCGAUGGUGAGAAUCCACUGCUGUGGAAGGAUCUUUGUGAGCAAUAUUUUGCCAUAUAUGGGAUUCCAGAGUCCGUUUGGGUCCAAAUGGCUACCUUGAAUUUUUCCUCUACUACAGCUGUUUGGUUACAGUCAGUUAGAAAGAAAGUCUUAGGCCUGAAUUGGGAGGGCUUCUGUAAUGUUUUGGCAACCCGUUUCGGUCGCGAUGGCCAUCCGCUGUUGAUCCGGCACUUUUUUUGCAAUUAA